AGUGAACGCUGGCGGUAGGCCUAACACAUGCAAGUCGAACGGCAGCACAGUAAGAGCUUGCUCUUACGGGUGGCGAGUGGCGGACGGGUGCGGAAUACAUCGGAAUCUACUUUUUCGUGGGGGAUAACGUAGGGAAACUUACGCUAAUACCGCAUACGACCUACGGGUGAAAGCAGGGGAUCUUCGGACCUUGCGCGAUUGAAUGAGCCGAUGUCGGAUUAGCUAGGUGGCGGGGUAAGGGCCCACCAAGGCGACGAUCCGUAGCUGGUCUGAGAGGAUGAUCAGCCACACUGGAACUGAGACACGGUCCAGACUCCUACGGGAGGCAGCAGUGGGGAAUAUUGGACAAUGGGCGCAAGCCUGAUCCAGCCAUACCGCGUGGGUGAAGAAGGCCUUCGGGUUGUAAAGCCCUUUUGUUGGGAAAGAAAAGCAGCAGGUUAAUACCCCGCUGUCCUGACGGUACCCAAAGAAUAAGCACCGGCUAACUUCGUG
rnacentral:rRNA from 1 species